GCCCGGGUGGUGGAACGGUAUACACGAAAGACUUAAAAUCUUUUGAGAGCAAUCUCUUGCGAGUUCGAGUCUCGCCCCGGGCA
rnacentral:tRNA from 1 species